rnacentral:lncRNA from 1 species
GCUGGCUGCUCCCGCUCGCCUCUUGGGGUGCGCUCGGCUCCAGCCCAACUCCGCCAGCUCCGCCGGCUCCAGCACCGCUCCAACCCGAUUCCAGCCGGAUUCCAGCCCGAUUCCAGCCCGGUUCCAGCCCGAUUCCAGCCCGGUUCCAGCCCAGCUCCGUCCCGGCUCCGGUUCUUCUCCGCCACGCCUCUCUGUCGACGCUGAGGAGCAGCUUCGCAGGAAAAUCCCAGAAACCUUUGCAAAAAGCUUACAAUGAAAUUUAAGAAGUUCUACGAUUUCGGCGCCAUUUUCGAGUGGAGUGAGAGUAUUGGAAAAGUUUGGCUGGAAGGUGCGGAGGACCUGUGCAUCAUGUUUUGGGUGUGGGGGCGCAUGGCAUCUGCAACAUUAAAAGACAAAACGUUCUCAACUGGGAAGAGAGGAAGAGGCUUAGUCUUUGGCUCUUAAAUCAUUUGGCCAAACCCUUCGCAGUUCUGAAGUGGGUGGGGCCAUUUUGACCCGUCGUGGUUCUGAAGUGGGUGGGGCCAUGGUAACCCUAAAGUAUUGAUUCUUUGUCUAUUGUAUCAGCGAAUGACCCUCUCUAGAAGUGACCAGACAUCUCUUUGUGCUCUCUUUUCGUGACCAUCGAUGGUUUUUUCCUCCACAAUUCCGUGUCCAUGUAAAAAUGACUUGUAAUAUAGCCAAGAAAAGACGGAAUUUUCAUUCCAACUUAAGGAGUGGGGCUGUUAUUAUUAAUGGCUUUAUUUAUCAUGACCUAAGCAAUGCAUAUGUUAGCACUGGAUCAUUAUCUGUUAUGUUAGGAAUUUUGUAUUUAGUUUAAUUACAUACUCUGUAUAUUUUAUUAAUUAAUUAAAAGGACCCAGCAUUCAUUGUACUAGUUUCGAAAAACGGACAUAAUUUUAAAUGAGAAUACAGGAAAUUUGUAUACAGAAUGUUUUUUGCUUUCAAAGGCACUGUAGUUUUGUUGUUUUAGUUAUUAGGUUUGUGGUUAAGGACUAAAGGAUGGUUUUUGUGCUUUCCUGAAUGCUUUGUUUAAACAAGGAAAUGAAUGUAACUUGUUGCUCAUGUGUGUCCAUUUUGAAAAGCAACAGUGGGAGCUGAGGAGAGCGCACAGUGCCGGCCAUUUCAAGACAAGAUUUUCAGUGGCGUGGCUUAAGAAGGAGUGAUUUGUAUUUAACAUCAAGUAUUUAAGGAUGUCAUUUAUUUAAAGUUCUUGAUUUGUGAUUUGAUGUCGAUGGUAACAAAUGUCUUUAUAAAUAAGCUUGAGUAGCCAGCAAUGUAUGAGAACAUCCAGGAAUGUAUGUUUCAUCUAGAACAUUCUCAUGCUUUGUCCUUAAAAAUAACUAAUGACGAGGUGAUUACUGUAAGAACGGAGGAAACUACUAGACAAGUCUAUUCCAUGCCUAUAGUAUUCAGUAAAACCAACUGGGACUACCCAGAGGGAUUUUUUUUUGAUUAUCAAAAGUUCCUUGCACCAAUUUCCAAUAAAUGAUCAAAACCCGGGGACAAUAAAUGAGACUUAUACAAGGUAGCAGGAAGUUUCACCAAGACUUUGGAGCUGGCAAGAGUGAUCCAGAUGUUACCAAAUUGUCUCAGUUUAUUUAAUCCCACUUUUCAUCUACUUUCUGAGGUAAGAGUCUCCUCCUCCCCACUAUCCACCACACCCUGCUUUCCAACAGUACACCCUUUGCCUCACCAGCAGAUCCUGGAAAUCACAGAGACUUUCUUCCUUCGCAGGUACCCCAGAGCGGCCCCCACCCUCGUUGACUCCGAAGGGCUGCAGCAGCAAUUCAUGUUUUGGAGUAUUGCCAAGGUUCAAAACAUGAAGCGCUGCAACACCCCUUCGUGGGGAAUGUAGAAGGUGGGGACCUGCUGAACAGACCUGUGUGGGUUCUACUAAAAGCCCUAAAGCAGGUAGGUGGGAGGGCAGGGGCUUAGUCUAGUGAGGGUCACUCUACACAGUCCAAGGGCCUGGGUGGGUGUGAAUAGCAAGGUGGCAAUUCACUUGAAGAAGGGACAAGGCAUCCUGUACUCAGCCCAUCCCACUCAGUCGUGCCCUAGCAGCGGGAACAGUACUGCAGUGAGUGUUUGGUGCCCUGGAGUAUUGUUUCCACUGCCUGGGUAAGUCUGGGUCUUCCACAUGGGCACACCCACCAGGUAAGUUUCGGUUAGCCUGCAGCAUAGGCCCCAUGGGAGGGAGACUCUAGAACAGCUCCCAACUAGAGUUGCUGAUCUGUGACUCUGACUGGGUGUGACUGAAAGUGUGUUGUUAGCGCCUCACUUGCUGCUCAGGUAAAAGUGAAUCAACUGGGAAAAAAAAAAAGCACUUCCUGGUCAUCAAGUAGUAUACCACCCACAAGAGCGAAACAAGAAAAUUUGUCCUAAGUCCUCAACAACAAAAUGGAGAAGGGGUCCUUCCAAAAGGAAUAAGAAGGGUUCUGAAGGGCAGGAAGGAUGACUUGAGAAAGUCCCCAUUUCUCUUUGCAGUUUAGGAAAGAUUAAGGGGUCCGUGGGAGUGUCCCUGGAUCUCUUCGUGUCUUGCUGGUGCGGACCCCCAGGUGGUACAAUGAGAGGCAAUGGCCCAACAGGAAGCCUCAGUGAGGCUCUGCAUUUCUAGUCCCCAUUUAUCCCCCUUUCCCAAAGUCAUCACACAAUUCUACAUGGCAGUGGGGACAUGGGGACACCCUUGUCACUGCCUAGAAGUCUCUGAGAAAAUGGCUGCUUUGUGACAUCCCAAACUCUGCUGUGAUUAAUCAUGGCACCUCCGUUUCCCUGAGGAGCCCUUUGAGCCUGGAGUGAAAAAAAAAAACAGGUCAAGAGGCGCCUGGGAACUGGAGAAGAGUGUUAAACUUCUGGAGCAAGACUGUACUUUUCCUGUGAAAAUCACUUUCCAUAAUCUGGAGUAUAGGCAUGUAAAGGACUGUUGGAAAACGGAGUGUGGGUGAAAUCGUGCUGCUUUGUCUUAUUAAAAAGAAAUAAAAUACAUGUACACACAC